rnacentral:misc_RNA from 1 species
GCAUUUCAUAAAUUUGUCAAAUAAUAGCCAUUCUUCGUCAUGGAAGCAACAAGCAUAUGGCCAUUCAAACAAUAUUCUCUCAGCUACUGAUCUUGAGGCUCAUAUUGCUGACUCAUGCAAAAUGGUCUCAAAUUUGUAUGGUCCUUUUAAAAGUAAAGCUUCAGAACAGGGUUGGAGGAUGUCAGACUCACUUCUUAAUCCUGGCCGAGCCAGGAUUGUAGUAGCUUGUUAAAG